rnacentral:miRNA from 1 species
UUUGGCUCAUGGAUUUUAGC